AUGUUGUGAUAAAUCCUAACCUAUAUUUCUUGUUAUUUAUCGAUUUGACAUGGGUUAAAAUAGUAGGUUAAGAACCGUCAAAUCGUUCGAAGAAAAUAUAACAUAGAAGCAUAUAUAUAAAUAUGGUAAAUUGUGAGGUAAAUCAAAUAUUUCUUGGCGAAAUUGCUGCCGUUCAAAAUUACGGUGCUUUCGUAAGAAUACCUGGAUGUUCGCAACAAGGAUUGAUACAUAGAUCACAGGUUAGUUCGGGUCACGUCGACGAUGUUACAGAAAUUUUACAAAAAGGAGAAAGAGUAUGGUGUAAAGUUAUUUCGGUGAAUGACGAUGGUAAAAUUGGAUUAUCUAUGAAACAUGUUAAUCAAGGAAAUGGUACUGACUUGGACCCUAAUGGAGUCGAAUUACAAAGAGAUAUGCAAAAGAAAAAAGCCUAUGUUCCGCAACAACGAAAAACUAUUCAAUUAGAAGCUGUUUUUAAUACAACAUGUACAAAGUGUGGGACGCAUGGACAUUUGGCUAAAGAUUGUUUUGUGCCGCCUAAUGGAAAGAAGUAUGAGUUAAUACCAGAGGUAGAAGAUGUAUCAUCUAUUCCAAAGACACAGGAUGAGCAAGAAGAUAAGAAGAUAGAAAAAACGGAAAAAGCAGAAAAGACAGAAAAGACAGAGAAGAAACAUAAAACAAAAAAAUCAAAAAAAAGAAAGAAAUCUAAGAAAAGUAAGCAGCAUACUGAUGACAGUAGUUCUGAUAAUGAGCAAACAACAAAGAAAAGUAAGAAGAAGAGAUCCAAAGAUCAUAAGCAAAAGAAAAAAAAGCGUAACAGCAGUACCAGCGAUACAGAUUCUAGUGAUAGUUCUAGUCAGAAUAUUAAAAGUUACAAACGGAAGCACUCGGAUAGAACCGAAGUACGAGCAAAAAAGUGCAAACAUUCGAAGGAAAAGCAUACAAAUUAAAUUCAUCUUAUCUGAAUGCUUAUUACAUUAAGAUUUUUGUAGUAUACAGGUGUGAUAGUUGCUGUCAUUAUUAUUACAAAGAUCAUGAAACUAUAAAUAUUACAAUAAAGAUGUACAAUAAUAUUAUAACUUACCGGUGUCAAAUACUUGUAUGUUAAAUGUACAUUUUCAGCUAAAACAUCUGCUGCUAAAUCAUAAUAUUGAUAUUUACAAUAUAGCAAUAGUACAUUAGCAAACGUUUCAGGUGGAAAAGGAUUUUGUUGUAAUAAGAAUUGUAAUUUUUCGAACCCUUCGCUCGGCUUUGUAUCCAUAUUUAAUAAUGCUUGAUUAUGUAACGUAACGGCAUCUAAUUCUUCUUCAGAACGAGGAGGCAUAUCCGUCAAUGCUUCUUUAGCAGCUUCGUCUUAAAAUCAAAGCGUAAUUAAAACAAUGUACUUUUACCAUUUAAUUAUAUGUUAUUUAACAAUUAAUUUUAAUGCAAUUACAAUUUUGCAACUGGUAUUCUAUAGCAGCUUUUAGAUUAAAAGCUUCUGUUAAAGCUGUUUCAUGAAGAGUAAGCGUGUUUCCAACACUACGAACUUCAAUACCUUCUGUUGCCAUACCCACGCCUAGUUCCGGAUGUUCUCUAAUUCCUUGCUCAAUGAUAUCAGCUAUAGAAAAAAAAGUUAUACCUUGUAUAGCAGACAUCCCAAAUUUACUUCUGUAUCCACAUCAUCGAGUGGACAUUGAUCUACAAGAUUUUUUGCAGCUACCAUAUCUUCUUGGCCAUACUUUAUGGCUGCUUGUAACUUCUUUACUUUAUAUUCUAAAUUACUUGAAUCAAUGAUAGUCAAAGAAACUGUCCAAGCCUCUUGAUACAUACAAGCUUGAUGCAAAGAUUGAGCAUGAUAAAGCUUAUAUAUAUUUUCUUCUGGACAUAUUUGAACCAAUUUUUCGUAACAGGUAGCUGCUGCCGCAAAGUCUUGCAUAUAAAAAUGACAAUGAGCAAGAAGCGAUAAACAAGGUCUGGACUGCAAAAAAAAAAGUCAUAUACACACAUAAAAUCAUUUAUUUACAGCAGAUAACAAAAGAUACAUAUAAAAAAUCAACAGGCCCUACAUCAGGAUGAGAUUCAAAAAGGGUCGUUAACACUUUGAUUGUAUCUCCAUAUCGCUGUUCCUUGAUCUAUAAUUUUAAUUAUAUUUAUAACAAUUAAUUUUAAUCCAUUAAUCAUAUAAAAAUAAAAAGGUCACAUAAAUGCUUUUAAAAUAUGGAUAGGAUGCAAGAAAGAAAAAAAAAAAAAGAUCUACCAUAGAAUAAAUUGUUUUCGUAUAUUCUCCGUCUUUAAUAUAUACAUUUUGUAUAAAAGUGUUCAUUUGAAAUAUUUCAAGUAAAAAUUAUAACACUGAACACGUAGCUAUACGAAACGUUAAUACAUGAAAUGAUCGUGUCACGUGCAUUGUUUUGACGGACAUAGACCGCGUUGUCAUAGUAAUACAAAUUAUCGCCCCCAUAUCAUUCAGCAAGUUUAUUUCUCACACCAUGAUGCAAUGUGCUACAUAAAUGCAUACGUGUGUAUGUGUG